ensembl:lncRNA
CUCCUGAAGGGGGAGGAGUCAGAAUCUGCAUUUGAACAAGAGCCUGGAGAGGUUUCCAGGCAGGAUAAGCAGCCCUAGCAGAGGUCAGAAACAUGGGAAAGAAAUACAAGGGUCCCCUUCUAGUCCUGGGCUUCCUUGAUGGCUUAGAUGGCAAAGAAUCUGCCUGCAAUGCAGGAGACCUGGCUUCAAUCCCUGGGUUGGUAAGAUCUUUUGGAGAAGUUCUGAAGGCUGCACGUCUGGAAUUAAUGUGUCAUUGAGCCAUACCUGCUACAAAACAUCCAGGAGAGACUCUGUUCUUGCCUCUGCCAGCUUCUGGAAGCCCCAGAUGUUCCUUGGCUUGGACAGCACAACUCCAGUUUGCUUCAGCCUUCACAUGACCCUCUUCCCUCUGUGUCUUUGUUCGAAUCCCUCUCUUCUUAUGUGGACACCAGUCAUGUUGGAUUAAAAGCCCACGCCACUCCAGCACAACCUCAUCUUAACUACUGACAUCUGCAACAACCCCAUUCCCCAAUAAAGUCACGUUGUGAAGUAUGUGGGGGUUAUGUAUCUUUUGUGGGGAUGCAAUUCAAGCCAUAACACAUAGUAAGAAUCUUAUGGGAAACUCCUUGGAAGGCAUGGUCUGUGUCUUCCUCACCAUCUUUCACAGGCCAAUCCUGAUGCAGAAUUAAGAUCACAGGCUGCUGUAAUAAAUAGCAUUGUGGAAAUUGAAUGUUAGAGAAAAUCUGUUAAAUGAAUGAAAAUUAAUUUUUGAUGGUCACAGGCCUGAUCCAGGUAUUAG